rnacentral:ribozyme from 14 species
AAGGAAAAAGUGAAAAAUGAAAUAGUUUAUGUGUUUGUUGAUUCAUACCAUUAUUUGUUGUUGUUGUUGUUUUAUUAAACUAUCUAUCAUCACAA